CAAACACCGGUUCCCAUACCUAAGUUAAGCAACGCCGAGCCUAGUUAGUACCUAGAUGGGUAACUGCUUGGGAAUACCAGGUGCU